rnacentral:rRNA from 1 species
GACGUAGGGGGCAAGCGUUGUCCGGAAUCAUUGGGCGUAAAGCGCACGUAGGUGGCCUGUUAAGUCGGGUGUGAAAUCCCUGGGCUCAACCCAGGAAGUGCACUCGAAACUGGCAGGCUUGAGUACUGAAGAGGGUCGCGGAAUUCCCGGUGUAGAGGUGAAAUUCGUAGAUAUCGGGAGGAACACCAGUGGCGAAGGCGGCGACCUGGGCAGAUACUGACGCUGAGGCACGAAAGCGUGGGGAGCAAACAGG